rnacentral:rRNA from 1 species
UACGUAGGGUGCAAGCGUUAAUCGGAAUUACUGGGCGUAAAGCGUGCGCAGGCGGUUGUGCAAGACAGAUGUGAAAUCCCCGGGCUCAACCCUGGGAAUUGCAUUUGUGACUGCACGGCUAGAGUGUGUCAGAGGGGGGUAGAAUUCCACGUGUGAAGCAGUGAAAUGCGUAGAGAUGUGGAGGAAUACCGAUGGCGAAGGCAGCCCCCUGGGAUAACACGUGACGCCUGCAUACGCUGACAGAAAGCGUGGGGAGCAAACGGAAUUACUCCGUGUAGUCAGACCAAGUACUCUGC